AGAGCUGGACUUCAGGACUGAUGGAGGAAGGUGAGCUGAAAAGAGAAGAAGGCUCUAAAAGUUACUUCUCAGAAGCUGCAUAAAUUGAUGAUCCCAACAAUGUGGAGCAUUCUAAGGAGGGCCAUGCAGAUUCACAGUCUGGACUGGCAUUCGUGGCUGGUGCUGUGAUCCUAACACAGAAGGUGAUCUCCUGCAAUCAGAACCACUGCUGAAUGCACAGCUGUCCUCCAGGUAUCCUACCGUCACCUUCAAGUUUGCACCGACUGAUGAUUCUCUUCUUGGAAUUAGCCUACUUAUAUCCAUUCUGCUUUGGUCAGCUUUAUUUCUAGACAAAGACUUUGUUGCUCUGUUUGUUUGCUUGUAUUUGAAUUACCAGAUUUUUGCUCUGAUAAUCAUCAGCUGUCAGAAAUGAAAAUGUAUGGGAAAAUAUAUGGGAACUAGUUUCCAGUCUGUCAUCUUUCUGAAAAGCUACAAAUCUGUUGCAAAAAUUAUUAAGUUGAAUAUGAUUUGCUCUGGAUGUAGAGACACGUCUCAAAAUAAAGAACAUUCUCACUCCACCUACUUUGAUUCCAUAAUUAGCGCAUGGACAGCAUCACUGAACAGCUGUGGUAGUCAUCUGUGUAGGGCUGGCAGAAAUGGCCUAGGACCUAUGGAAAAUCUAUAUCCUUUCAAAUUGGUGGCCAGAGGCAUGGGAAAUACCCAAGAGCAUGUUCUGUGAUGUUGCAUCUAUGUUUAUUUGCACUUCUGCCAAGCUUCUCUUAAGAAUAUGCCAUAAUGCAUCAUAACUUAAUUGUCUUAUUGUCUGAAAGACAUCUGGCCCAGGUGAAGUCAAAAACAUUUAUGGAAUUCCCAAAGAUGUUUUCAUGCAAGAAAUCUGUACUCAUAUGUAUGUUUCCAUCCAUCAUUUGUGGUCUGGUUUGUGUCUUCUGGUCCUUACUCUAUAUUUGUUGCCACAAUUCUCAUGGCCAGGAGAUAUCUGCCUACAUUGGCCAUGCACCCAGAAUGACGACCAGUGAUUUUUAAGCCUACAUCAAUGAGAGAAAAAGACUUCUCCCUCAUAAUAAGGACCUGAGGUAUCUAUAUUGAUUUUUUUUUUCACUUGUUUGCUUUUAGGCAAAAGAGAGAAAGAUUUAUAUGUAUGUUCUUAAGUGGGAAGAUAACUUGUGAAACUGUUUUGUAAUGGAUCAGAAUUGGUUACAGAAAAGUUUUAAGGAAAGACCCUUUCAUAUUUGUUCACUCUUGAGCAUCAUGGAAGCCAUAUGUGACGCAGGAAGUAGGUACCACUGGAAACAGCACAAGAAAUGUUGAAAUUUUCAGUGGGCUGAUGUUGUGGAUUAUUAUGAAAGCCUUCUCUUCCCAUGUGUUAGAAAGUGAGACCUGUGAUCAGCUAGCUGCCAUGUCACAUGCCAUUACUCAUCUCUCACUAAAAAGGUGUCCUGUGUGAAGGAAACACUGCAUUUUCUCUAUUUUCCCCAAGUGGUUUUCUGUAAUCCAAAUCAAUUAUCUGGAAGCUAUGCAAAUUACCGUGAAUCCUGCUUAGUCAAAUUCCAGUAUGCGUUAGAAAAAGCAACAGGGCGUAGUAGGGGCAAAUUGGUGAGGUGUGAUGCUGUUCAUUUACAGUGCAGCAGAUGUCAGUAAUGAGGCAACAACACGAAUCUCUCAGCUUUGAGAGAGAUGAGAAUCAGGAUUUCCUAACGUCACACUUUUAAAUCACGGGGAAGAGUGUCAGUUGCAAUUUAUGACUGAACUAAGAGCAGGAGUAAACAUAACAUUGUGCCUGCUUUGCAUAUUAUGUCCUUUCUACAUAAUUGGAUCUGAGACUUGCAGAGAAGUCUACUAAGUCAUUGUUGUCAUAUGCAGUAAGAGAUGAAACUGAAGUUCCUGCUUAUCCUGUAUAGAAAAAUUCUAAAUUAAUGUAAUCUUCAACCUCAGCUUUCUUCCCUUGUGUCAACACUGGGGCAAAUUCAAUCAUCAUAGACAAUCCUGUAUGUUCAUUCCUUCUGACUGUAGCAUAUAUCUUCAUCUUACUUCUUGAAAAGGGAAAGAAGGAGAUAGAACAUAUCUCUAAGUUCAGCUGGUAAGGUCAGAAGUUCAGAUAAAGCAAUUGCAGUGCCAGAAAGACCAUUUUGUUUCAUUUAUGUAUAUCAAUGUAUGUAGUAUAGUUAAUGAGAUUCACAUACAGAUGUAUAAGUAUAUAAAUAUAUAUUAAUAUAUAUACUUACAUAUCAUGAAGACUUGCAGUAUUGCCAUGUUCAUACCCUGGAUAAAGAAAAAGCCU
ensembl:lncRNA